rnacentral:rRNA from 1 species
CCUACGGGGGGCUGCAGUGGGGGAUAUUGCACAAUGGGGGGAACCCUGAUGCAGCGACGCCGCGUGGGUGAAGGAGUAUUUCGGUAUGUAAAGCCCUAUCGGCAGGGAAGAAAUUGGACGGUACCUGACUAAGAAGCCCCGGCUAACUACGUGCCAGCAGCCGCGGUAAUACGUAGGGGGCAAGCGUUAUCCGGAUUCACUGGGUGUAAAGGGAGCGUAGACGGCCAUGCAAGCCAGGGGUGAAAGCCCGGGGCCCAACCCCGGGACUGCCCUUGGAACUGCAUGGCUGGAGUGCGGGAGGGGCAGGCGGAAUUCCUGGUGUAGCGGUGAAAUGCGUAGAUAUCAGGAGGAACACCGGCGGCGAAGGCGGCCUGCUGGACCGCGACUGACGUUGAGGCUCGAAAGCGUGGGGAGCGAACAGGAUUAGAUACCCUAGUAGUC